UCAUUGGUGGUUCAGUGGUGGAAUUCUCACCUUCCGUGCGGGAGACCUGGCUUCGAUUCCCGGCCGAUGCA
rnacentral:tRNA from 1 species